rnacentral:rRNA from 1 species
GGAUGAACGCUGGCGGCGUGCCUAAUACAUGCAAGUCGAGCGAACAGACGAGGAGCUUGCUCCUCUGACGUUAGCGGCGGACGGGUGAGUAACACGUGGAUAACCUACCUAUAAGACUGGGAUAACUUCGGGAAACCGGAGCUAAUACCGGAUAAUAUAUUGAACCGCAUGGUUCAAUAGUGAAAGACGGUUUUGCUGUCACUUAUAGAUGGAUCCGCGCCGCAUUAGCUAGUUGGUAAGGUAACGGCUUACCAAGGCAACGAUGCGUAGCCGACCUGAGAGGGUGAUCGGCCACACUGGAACUGAGACACGGUCCAGACUCCUACGGGAGGCAGCAGUAGGGAAUCUUCCGCAUUGGGCGAAAGCCUGACGGAGCAACGCCGCGUGAGUGAUGAAGGUCUUCGGAUCGUAAAACUCUGUUAUUAGGGAAGAACAAAUGUGUAAGUAACUAUGCACGUCUUGACGGUACCUAAUCAGAAAGCCACGGCUAACUACGUG